GGGGGAUAUUGCGCAAUGGGGGCAACCCUGACGCAGCAACGCCGCGUGAAGGAUGAAGGUUUUCGGAUUGUAAACUUCUUUUAUUAAGGACGAAACUUGACGGUACUUAAUGAAUAAGCUCCGGCUAACUACGUGCCAGCAGCCGCGGUAAUACGUAGGGAGCAAGCGUUGUCCGGAUUUACUGGGUGUAAAGAGUGCGUAGGCGGCUUUGCAAGUCAGAUGUGAAAUCUAUGGGCUCAACCCAUAAACUGCAUUUGAAACUGUAGAGCUUGAGUGAAGUAGAGGCAGGCGGAAUUCCCCGUGUAGCGGUGAAAUGCGUAGAGAUGGGGAGGAACACCAGUGGCGAAGGCGGCCUGCUGGGCUUUAACUGACGCUGAGGCACGAAAGCGUGGGUAGCAAACAGGAUUAGAUACCCUGGUAGUCCACGCUGUAAACGAUGAUUACUAGGUGUGGGGGGUCUGACCCCUUCCGUGCCGGAGUUAACACAAUAAGUAAUCCACCUGGGGAGUACGGCCGCAAGGUUGAAACUCAAAGGAAUUGACGGGGGCCCGCACAAGCAGUGGAGUAUGUGGUUUAAUUCGAAGCAACGCGAAGAACCUUACCAGGUCUUGACAUCCAACUAACGAAGUAGAGAUACAUUAGGUGCCCUUCGGGGAAAGUUGAGACAGGUGGUGCAUGGUUGUCGUCAGCUCGUGUCGUGAGAUGUUGGGUUAAGUCCCGCAACGAGCGCAACCCUUGCUAUUAGUUGCUACGCAAGAGCACUCUAAUAGGACUGCCGUUGACAAAACGGAGGAAGGUGGGGACGACGUCAAAUCAUCAUGCCCCUUAUGACCUGGGCUACACACGUACUACAAUGGAUGUUAACAGAGGGAAGCAAGACAGCGAUGUGGAGCAAACCCCUAAAAACAUUCUCAGUUCAGAUUGCAGGCUGCAACCCGCCUGCAUGAAGAUGGAAUUGCUAGUAAUCGCGGAUCAGCAUGCCGCGGUGAAUACGUUCCCG
rnacentral:rRNA from 1 species